CCUACGAGGUGCAGCAGUCGAGAAUCAUUCACAAUGGGGGAAACCCUGAUGGUGCGACGCCGCGUGGGUGAAUGAAGGUCUUCGGAUUGUAAACCCCUGUCAUAUGGGAGCAAAUUAAAAAGAUAGUACCACAAGAGGAAGAGACGGCUAACUCUGUGCCAGCAGCCGCGGUAAUACAGAGGUCUCAAGCGUUGUUCGGAAUCACUGCGCGUAAGGCAUGCUUAGGCUGUUUCGUAAGUCGUGUGUGAAAGGCGCGGGCUCAACCCGCGGACGGCACCUGAUACUGCGAGACUAGAGUAAGUGAGGGGGAACCGGAAUUCUCGGUGUAGCAGUGAAAUGCGUAGAUAUCGAGAGGAACACUCGUGGCGAAGGCGGGUUCCUGGACAUUAACUGACGCUGAGGCACGAAGGCCAGGGGAGCGAAAGGGAUUAGAUACCCGAGUAGUC
rnacentral:rRNA from 1 species